AUGGCUUCUUCAGCCGUCCUGCUACUUAUUCUGAUGGUUGUGGCCGCGACGGUGCAUGGCCACACCCAUACCCCUGGAGGCACUCCGGCGGCACUGUUCUGGGAGGCGGCCCUCCCGGACUCGCCGAUGCCCGAGUCCAUCGCCCACCUCGUGCAGAAGGGCACCGAUCACUCGCCGCUCCAGCAGCACCAUUCUGCCGCCAUGAUCCUGCCCAACGCGUGCCUCGGCUACUCCUACAGGAUCAUAUGCAAUAGUCCUGCCCAACAGGCGUCGUCUGUGGAAGGCCUCUUCUUCCGCGAGUCCGACAUGCGUGUGGGGCGCACCAUGACGGUUGCCCUGCCGGCGUUCGACCCGGCGCCGUUCCUCCCGCGCAAAGCUGCCGAGAGGAUUCCCUUCGGCAACCUCGCGGAUGCCCUCUAUAGGUUCGGCAUCACGCCGGGCUCCCAAGAGGCGGCCCGGGUAGGCGAGACACUGAGCGCCUGCCGCGAGGCGCCUCUCGCCGGCUCACGGAAGGCGUGCGCCACGUCGCUGGAGGGGGUCGUGCUGAGCGCCACGCGUAUGCUGGCGACGAGCCGGCCCUUGGUCGCGGCGGCGUCCGCACUUCCCAACUCCGGCCUGCCGCGCCGCACGUACACUGUGCAGGCUAUCAAGCCACUAGGCGGAGGAGGCGGCGGCUACGUGGCAUGCCACAGCAGGGCUUACCCGUACGCUGUGUACGAGUGCCACAUGAUGGAGGGCUCGUCCGAGGAGGCGUACGUCGUCUCCAUCCGCGGCGGCAGCGGCCUCCCUACCGUGGACAUGGCGGCGGUGUGCCACUUCGACACCUCUAAUUGGAUCCCAGCUCACCCAGCCUUCAAGAUCCUGGGCACCCACCCCGGCGGCUCGCCCGUGUGCCACUUUCUUCCCUACGCCGACCUCAUGUUCGGCGUGAAGAUGGCCGACAAUGCAUAG
rnacentral:rRNA from 1 species